rnacentral:rRNA from 1 species
UACGGAAGGGGGCUAGCGUUGUUCGGUGAAUUACAUGGGCGUAAAGCGCGCGCAGGCGGCUAUCCAAGUCGAGUGGUCGAAAGCCCGGAGCUCAACUCCGGAACUGCCAUUGAAACUGUUUAGCUUGAGGAUGAGAGAGGUGAGUGGAAUUCCCAGUGUAGAGGUGAAAUUCGUAGAUAUUGGGAAGAACACCGGUGGCGAAGGCGGCUCACUGGCUCAUUACUGACGCUCAGGCGCGAUAGCGUGGGGAUCAAACAGG